GGGUCAGUAGGUUGGUCGUGCCACCGGUACGUACUGGUCUCACUGAUUCCUCCUUCCUGAAGAACCGUAAUGCCACUAACUUGGUGUUGCGGGGAAACAGGACUGUUACUUUGAAAAAAUUAGAGUGUUUAAAGCAAGCUAACGCUUGAAUACAUUAGCAUGGAAUAAUGAAAUAGGACGAUCGAUCCUAUUUUGUUGGUUUCUAGGAUUGACGUA
rnacentral:rRNA from 1 species